rnacentral:lncRNA from 1 species
AAGCCGGCGUCAUCGGCGGCCGGGAAGGGCGCGGAGGGCCAGUCGGUGGUGCGGCGGCUGCAGUCGGAGCUGAUGGCGCUGAUGAUGGGCGGCGACCCCGGCGUGUCGGCGUUCCCUGAUGGGGACAACAUCUUCAACUGGGUGGGCACCAUCGCCGGAUCCGCGGGCACCGCCUACGAGGGCACCUCCUACCGCCUCGCGCUCGCCUUCACCGCCGAGUACCCCUACAAGCCCCCCAAGGUGCGGUUCGACACGCCCUGCUUCCACCCCAACGUCGACACCCACGGCAACAUCUGC